ACACAAAUCAGAACAUCACACACAAAUCAGAACCGUUUGCCUAAUUAGAACAUGACAGUUGUCUACGUAAGGCGGAAGUAAGCCGAAAGACGGAUAGUGGAUGACAGUUUUUAACUCGCUCCUAUAUGAAAUAUUGCCUACAUAAUCGAUUAUGAGUUUAUUCAAGAUUUAAAAGUAGUCCACCUGUCUCAGUCUCCUCUCUAAAACAGACUGAUUUACAUGUAUCUCAGACAUGAGGACUAUGUAUCACUGGCCUCCUCCCUCCAGUCACCAGACUGUCCUCUGAGAGAGCUGCACCUGGACGGGAUUGGAGUGCCUGGUUAUGAUGAAGAUGAAGAUGGUGACCUGAGUGUUGUCUAUGCUGCCCUUCGAGGUUCACAGUGUAAACUGGAGACACUGAGGUUGAACAGGCGUUACCUGACGGAGGAAAGUUGUAGAGUUGUCUUCAGCUCUCAGCUCAAAUUGUUACCUGAGAGAGUUGGACCUGAGUCACAACAACCUGCAGGAUUCAGGAGUGAAGCUGCUCUCUGAUGGACUGAAGAGUCCACAAUGUAGACUGGAGAUCCUGAGGCUGUCGUUCUGUGGAGUCACAGAGGAAGGCUGUGCUUCUCUGGCUUCAGCUCUCAGCUCAAACUGCCGUCUGAGAGAGUUGGACCUGAGCUACAAUCACCCAGGAGACACAGUUCUCUCUGGUAGACUGGAGAAACUCAAUGUGGACCAUAAUGAAGAGAUCUGGGUGAAACCACAGCUGCUUAAAAAGUGCAAGUGUUGUUUUGUACAUCAGUACAUCCAACAUUGAGAUUGAUAUUGUGUUAGGGUUAGAGUUGGUCCUCACAAGCAUAGACAAGCUGACAUCGCAAGCAUACAUUCUGACAGAUUCUACCACUGACACACAGAGAAACUCACUCUCUCCACUCACACACACACGCAAACAAUGGCAGUCAAACUCUGACUGUUCCUCAUCAGUAAUACAUACAGUACAUACUGACACAUUGAAACACUGACACACAUACAAACCCACUCACACACACAUUCACUCUCUCUCUCUCUCUUACUCUCACAGGCACCGAUGCAGUUAAACGUCAAAAAAUAUAUUACAUACAUUUACGUAAAUAUACAUAAAAUACAUUAAGCGUUACUCAUCAGUUAUGCUUCCACUCUUACUGGGUUAAAUCCCAGAAUCCUCUGACUGAAAAUCACUCAUGACCAUCUGACAGGAACAACCUCUCACUCACUGACCAGAUGGAAAUGUAAACAUCCAGACACACAGUUCUGAUCCAGCCUCUCUCCU